AAACUUUCAACAACGGAUCUCUUGGUUCGGGCAUCGAUGAAGAACGCAGCGAAAUGCGAUAAGUAAUGUGAAUUGCAGAACUCAGCGAACCAUCGAAUCUUUGAACGCAUAUUGCGCCCGGGAGUACUCUCCCGGGCAUGCCUGUUCGAGCGUUAUCU
rnacentral:rRNA from 1 species